rfam:Triticum aestivum genome assembly, contig: Triticum_aestivum_CS42_TGACv1_scaffold_486218_6AS
CAGCUAUUCCUUUCGUUUUAAAUUACUUGUCGCAUGUAUGAAUAUAUCUAGAUAUAUUUUAGUUCUAGAUACAUUUAUUUCUACGGCGAGUAAUUUAGAACGGAGGGAGUAGAUG